rnacentral:rRNA from 1 species
UACGUAGGUGGCAAGCGUUGUCCGGAAUUAUUGGGCGUAAAGCGCGCGCAGGCGGUCCUUUAAGUCUGAUGUGAAAGCCCACGGCUCAACCGUGGAGGGUCAUUGGAAACUGGGGGACUUGAGUGCAGGAGAGAAGAGUGGAAUCCACGUGUAGCGGUGAAAUGCGUAGAGAUGUGGAGGAACACCAGUGGCGAAGGCGACUCUUUGGCCUGAUAACUG